CGAAAUUCUAUGGCAUACUCCGAGAUAGACCGGUUCCCUUGUCUGAUAUGCAUCAGGGUGUAGAGGCGUUUUCCUCCCUGCCAAAUGGUUCAAACAUAAGUUUAAAUUCCGUAAUAAACUCCUAGUAGUUGUGUGCCACACUCCUAUUACUCUCCCAUCAUGGAUUGGCCCAAGCUAAAGCUUUACCUUUUAAUUGAUUCAUCAGGUAACCAAUUUUAGCUCUGUCUGUGGGAAAAGAUCCUGGUGAGGCCUCAAAAUGAUACUCUAUUUGGUUAAGGAAUCCCCGACAUUCUUGUAAAUUACCAACAAAAUGCAAAGGAGGAGUGUGGCAAACCUAUCCACUUCUGGACACUUAGGGUGAAUAUUUUGUUAACAGGGAACAGACCUUAU